AUUGAACGCUGGCGGCAGGCCUAACACAUGCAAGUCGAGCGGAUGACGGGAGCUUGCUCCUUGAUUCAGCGGCGGACGGGUGAGUAAUGCCUAGGAAUCUGCCUGGUAGUGGGGGACAACGUUUCGAAAGGAACGCUAAUACCGCAUACGUCCUACGAGAGAAAGCAGGGGACCUUCGGGCCUUGUGCUAUCAGAUGAGCCUAGGUCGGAUUAGCUAGUUGGUGGGGUAAUGGCUCACCAAGGCGACGAUCCGUAACUGGUCUGAGAGGAUGAUCAGUCACACUGGAACUGAGACACGGUCCAGACUCCUACGGGAGGCAGCAGUGGGGAAUAUUGGACAAUGGGCGAAAGCCUGAUCCAGCCAUGCCGCGUGUGAAGAAGGUCUUCGGAUUGUAAAGCACUUUAAGUUGGGAGGAAGGGCAGUAAGUUAAUACCUUGCUGUUUUGACGUUACCGACAGAAUAAGCACCGGCUAACUCUGUGCCAGCCGCCGCAGUAA
rnacentral:rRNA from 1 species